rnacentral:tRNA from 1 species
GCGGGAUUAACUCAGUGGUAGAGUGUCACCUUGCCAAGGUGAAAGUCGCGAGUCCGAGUCUCGUAUCCCGCUCCA